UGUAGAAGAUAAUAAAAGAGGGUAAUAAAAGAGAGCGCCAACCGAUUUUUAAAGGGGAAAAUGGGUAAACCAAUUAGAAGAAGAUAAUUAUUAAUGAAAUAUUAAAGGAAAUAAGGUAAAAUAAUUAUUUUAAAAAUAAAAUAUCAAAGAUGUGACGUUUGUAACGUUACACACUCCUCUCACCCAUCAGAAAAAUUUUGAACACACGUGAGAAAUUUUUCUCAAAGAAAAUAAGAAGACAAAGUUCUAACCAGAAAUAAAUAUAUGCAGUAGUAAUCGUUCAGAACAAACCAAAAAUAAAUACUCAUAAUAAAGUAAGUAUUAUUAAGUCAAUGUAUAUAGUUAAUUUAAAUUAUUAAUCAUAAAAAAUUUUAAAGUACCAAAAUAAUUUUCAGAUGUUACUCUGGGGAAAAUAAAAAUAUUACCCAAUGAA